rnacentral:rRNA from 1 species
GACGAACGCUGGCGGCGUGCUUAACACAUGCAAGUCGAACGGAAAGGCUCCAGCUUGCUGGAGUACUCGAGUGGCGAACGGGUGAGUAACACGUGGGUAAUCUGCCCUGCACUCUGGGAUAAGCCUGGGAAACUGGGUCUAAUACUGGAUAUGACCUUUCUCCUUAUGGGGUUUGGUGGAAAGUUUUUCGGUGUAGGAUGAGCCCGCGGCCUAUCAGCUUGUUGGUGGGGUGAUGGCCUACCAAGGCGACGACGGGUAGCCGGUCUGAGAGGGUGAUCGGCCACAUUGGGACUGAGAUACGGCCCAGACUCCUACGGGAGGCAGCAGUGGGGAAUAUUGCACAAUGGGCGGAAGCCUGAUGCAGCGACGCCGCGUGAGGGAUGACGGCCUUCGGGUUGUAAACCUCUUUCAGCAGGGACGAAGCGUAAGUGACGGUACCUGCAGAAGAAGCACCGGCUAACUAUGUG